rnacentral:rRNA from 1 species
AUUGUCCGCCAGAGAACUACAAGCGAAAAACUAGAAACUCCAAGGACUUGGCGGUGCUCCAUAUCAACCUAGAGGAGCCUGUCCUAUAAUCGAUACCCCACGUUAAACCUUACCAUCUUUCGCCUACCAGCCUAUAUACCGCCGUCGUCAGCCUACCUUAUGAAAGCAAAAUAGUAAGCAAAACAGUUAACAACUAACACGUCAGGUCAAGGUGUAGCACAUAAGAUGGAAGAGAUGGGCUACAUUUUCUACCACAGAAUACACGAAUGACACAAUGAAACUUGUACCUAAAGGUGGAUUUAGUAGUAAGAUAAACAAGCAACACUAUCUUAAACCCGCUCUGGAGCGCGCACACACCGCCCGUCACCCUCAUCAC